rnacentral:rRNA from 1 species
UACGUAGGUGGCAAGCGUUAUCCGGAAUUACUGGGCGUAAAGCGCACGCAGGCGGCUUGUCAAGGCUGACGUGAAAGAACCUGGCUUAACUGGGGGAGGUCGUGGGCGACUGACAGGCUUGAGGCAACGAGAGGGGUGCGGAAUUCCCGGUGUAGUGGUGGAAUGCGUAGAGAUCGGGAGGAACACCAGUGGCGAAAGCGGCACCCUGGCAUUGACCUGACGCUCAGGUGCGAAAGCGUGGGGAGCGAACGGG